rnacentral:lncRNA from 12 species
UUUUGAGUGUUUUGGUCACCUCUCUGCAAUUCACCCAAACUCUUUGUCCUGUGUCUGGGCCUCAUGGAAUCUGGUUUUCUUUUCUGGUGUUGUUUGCCAGAAAACGGCAUUAACAUGUAAGAAGUUGAAUCACGGUCGAGACUCCAAUAAAACCAAUUCUCACAGCAUUUUAGAUUUACAACAUAUUCUGAGGGACUAGGAAAUAAUAAAGCUGGAUUAGGAGUCGCCUUCUGUGGAAUAUUGAAGAGGAUACAUUUGAUAAUUUUUCUGUAUACUUAGAGCACUGGCCUCAUUUUUUGUUUUGUUUUUAAUUUUUUUUUUUUUUUUUUUUUUUUGUUUUGUUUUGUCAGCUCUUAUUUGCCAGGUUAGUAGCAAAAGCUAAUAUUCGGAAUGCAGAGUUACUCUAAAACACACCAAAGAAACAAAAUCCACACUAGACUACCUUUAAACCAAUAAUCAGGGGGAAAUAUGCUCAUUUGUUUCAAUUCGCAUGGUGUUAGUCCUAUGCCAUAGGCACUUUGCCCACCUAAAAAACAGAGCAUAAUGACUUGCCGGGCAGGGAAAUGAAUAGGCUUCAUGGUUAGCAUGAGUCUCCUAAAAUGCCUCUUGUGCCUCCUUUUCAUGACAGGGCUAGCGGCUUUUUGGCAAUCAGCAAACUGCAGAAACAAUUCCAUCCAAAGUGAGUCAUCGCUCCAGUGACCAGAAACGGGACUCUCCCUUGGGAAUCUCCUUUAGCUGUUAUGUGUGUUUCUUGCUGUUGUUGUUUGGGGUCCUUUGCAAUCAUGCUUUUAUGCAAAAAUGCCACUGAUUAUUUUAGUCUUUAAAUGAUGCAGUCUAGGCAUGUGUCCUGGAAAACUUCAGCAGCUGCCAGGCUAAUCUGAAACUCGGCGACCUGAAUGAGGUGAUUCUGCUGAACACAACCACUGGGCAAACAGAGUCAGACGCAGACUGCGAAGAUCCAUAUGCGAACUGCGCAUCUUCAUGUGUCGCAGGCACGGCCAAGUCCUCUUCUACGAAAGAAGCCCAGUGGAUGGGUCGGUAAUUAUAAAAAUCGACAUCAACCGACCAGGUCAACUCCAAGAAACGACGGGGACUCCCCACCGAGUCUUGAUGGGAAAGCAAAGUGGAGUGAGAGAACGGGAGGUCACCUCUGACAGCAAGGAGGAGGCUCAUGGCCGAGGAUGGCGGUCGGUCUUCAGGAUGUGCAGGGGACCCCUCCUCUGGGGUGGAUCUCUCUACUGGUGGUUCUCAAGUGGGAAUGGUUUUGCCUCUUGAGGGAUGUUUGGCAAACGUCUGGAGGCAUUUUUAUUGGUCACAAUUGUGAGGGGGUAUGUUACUAGCAUCUGGUGGUUAGAGGCCGUGAUCCUGCCAUACAUCCUAUGAUACACAGGACAGCUCCCCAUAAUGGAGAAUCAUUGAACCCAAAAUGGGAAUGGUGGUGAAGCGGCCACACCUUCUCUACCUCUAGUUGCUCAUAGCCAUGAAUCGGUCCUGGGAGGCUCUAUUGUCAGUCCCUUGGGGAGCUUUCUCCCCAUGCAUUGGGUCAUUUAUCACUCACCCCUUAAGCCUAGAAGCAAAGUCAUUUCUUCAAAGCAAAAAGCACACUCGAUGAACUUCUUACAUAAUUCUGUAUAUAACUCAGUAUAAUUCUGUUAUAAUUUGGUGUAAUUCUGAUAUAAUUCAGUAUAAUUCUUUUUCUCCCAGGGCUCCUUGGAGCCUGCGAGGGCUCCUCUUGGUUUCCCGGAGUCAAAAGCACCUCCUGAGUUGAUCAACUCAGAUCCUAACUGGAAAGGAAAGAAAGAGAAAGACAUAGAGCAUCUCAGGUGUGUGUGUGUGUGUGUGUGUGUGUGUGUGUGUGUAGCAUGUUUGAGCAAUAUAUAGCUACAGAUUUAUACACACAUAUUUAUAGUUUUUGGUUUCUUUAGGGUCCUGCCCUGCCUUCCCCUCCCAUGCAGACCUCAUUAUCACCCAUCCUCACUGCUGCUCAUUGUUCCUCAAUACCCUGUCCCACAGAGCACGCGGAGCCCCUCUCUGAGGUUGGUUCCAAAAAUUGGAAAACCUUUCAAAGAGACAAUGUGUCACAUUUCAUUUAUUUUUUAUUUUGUUUUUUAUUUUUUAAAGAUUUAUUCAUUUAUUCAUGAGAGAUACACAGAGAGAGGCAGAGACACAGGCAGAGGGAGAAGCAGGCUCCAUGCAGGGAGCCCCAUGUGGGACUCGAUCCCGGGACUCCAGGAUAAUACUCUGGGCUGAAGGCAGGUGCCAAGCCGCUGAGCCACCCAAGGAUCCCCAAUGUGUGACAUUUUUAAGUUGGCCAGUCCUCUUAGGUGCAGAAACUCAUAGGCUACAUGUUGCUCGGCAUUAAUGUAAUUUCACUGCAAAACCACAGUGAGUAUUUUUUACCUUUACCUUCUCAGUACUUAAUGAGGCAGAGGUACUAUAAAGAAUAGGGGAGAUGGGGAUGCCUGGGGGGCCCAGCGGUUGAGCAUCUGCCUUUGGCUCAGGACGUGAUCCCGGGGUCCUGGGAUCGAGUCUCACAUCGGGCUCCCCGCAGGGAGCCUGCUACUCCUUCUGCCUGUGUCUCUGCCUCUCUGUGUCUUUCAUGAAUAAAUAACUCUUUAAAAAAAAAAGAGAUGAUGUU